GAGAAGCAUUUUUUAGAUUUCUCCUCCACCACCUGCCUGAUUCUCUCCCAAUAUAAUUCUACGAUUUUCCGCCGCCACCUCUCGUUUUCUGCCCUCGCCGGAGGACCGACGAAAAACCUGCUUCCCGUCUUGCCCUUACUAACCCCCACCGCCGUGCCCUUUGCCGGAAGCAGACUUAAUCCCAGCAUGACUGCGGAGGUUUCUCAGCCAAACGGAGUUGUCUCGAAUGGCGACU
rnacentral:misc_RNA from 1 species